UGACACAAUCUCGAGCAAAAGCAGAACCUCCGGGUCUUUUGUCAUUUACCACGAACUGCAGGAUGUUACCACCAAAGCACCGCAGAAGUCUUAGAACCCACCACCCUUUCAUUUGACGUUUCCAGAAAAAGAUAGGUGCGCCCCAGAGAGUUUAUGGCACAUAAAUAGGUAACAAGUUCAUAGUGGAUUCAAGAUAGAGAAACACUUCACAGAGAAUGCAAGAAGUAAGAAAGACUACCAUGUUGGGAGCCUCUGUUCACGGAAGAACUAUCAGAGGCAAUAAUGCGUGGGCCAGAAAUCCCAAACUGGUGAACGGCAAGCUGACGGGGGUACACAGACUUACAUGGUUUCUUUGGCCAGAACGGUGUUUUUCAAAGUCUAAGCGAGCUGCAAUGGCACCAGCUACUUUUGUAACGGUGCACGGCUACACCACAGGUCCCAGCUUCCCCAGCGUAGAGCAGGGACCACGAGACUGAGUUCUGCCAAUGGAAUAUACGCUUCUGGGCAGUAUCAUGGCAAAUCCUUCCCCCAGUGUUCGAGCUGUAUCCGCAGCUGGACGCACGGAGGGAAACCAGUGUAGCAGAUGUAGAUCCUCAUGAAGAAGAGAGCCUCUGCCCCUGAAGGAGCUGACAGGGUCUCCACUGUGACCUUCACUGGCUGUGAUGGGAGGGAACAUCAACACCACUGAGAUGUUGAGUUUGUGUGCGACAACCGUGUCUUUGUUUGGGUCCCUCUAAAAUCGGGUUAUGAGAUAUGGAUUCGUGUGCAAGUGGCUUA